AGUGAACGCUGGCGGUAGGCCUAACACAUGCAAGUCGAACGGCAGCACAGUAAGAGCUUGCUCUUACCGGUGGCGAGUGGCGGACGGGUGAGGAAUACAUCGGAAUCUACUUUUUCGUGGGGGAUAACGUAGGGAAACUUACGCUAAUACCGCAUACGACCUACGGGUGAAAGCAGGGGAUCUUCGGACCUUGCGCGAUUGAAUGAGCCGAUGUCGGAUUAGCUAGUUGGCGGGGUAAAGGCCCACCAAGGCGACGAUCCGUAGCUGGUCUGAGAGGAUGAUCAGCCACACUGGAACUGAGACACGGUCCAGACUCCUACGGGAGGCAGCAGUGGGGAAUAUUGGACAAUGGGCGCAAGCCUGAUCCAGCCAUACCGCGUGGGUGAAGAAGGCCUUCGGGUUGUAAAGCCCUUUUGUUGGGAAAGAAAAGCAGCAGGUUAAUACCCCGCUGUUCUGACGGUACCCAAAGAAUAAGCACCGGCUAACUUCGUG
rnacentral:rRNA from 1 species